rnacentral:rRNA from 1 species
CCUACGGGGGGCUGCAGUGAGGAAUAUUGGUCAAUGGACGCAAGUCUGAACCAGCCAUGCCGCGUGCAGGAAGACGGCUCUAUGAGUUGUAAACUGCUUUUGUACGAGGGUAAACGCAGAUACGCGUAUCUGUCUGAAAGUAUCGUACGAAUAAGGAUCGGCUAACUCCGUGCCAGCAGCCGCGGUAAUACGGAGGAUUCAAGCGUUAUCCGGAUUUAUUGGGUUUAAAGGGUGCGUAGGCGGUCGGAUAAGUUAGAGGUGAAAUCCCGAGGCUCAACUUCGGAAUUGCCUCUGAUACUGUUCGGCUAGAGAGUAGUUGCGGUAGGCGGAAUGUAUGGUGUAGCGGUGAAAUGCUUAGAGAUCAUACAGAACACCGAUUGCGAAGGCAGCUUACCAAGCUACUUCUGACGUUGAGGCACGAAAGUGUGGGGAGCGAACAGGAUUAGAUACCCCAGUAGUC